AUGGCGAGGCACUUCCUGCUCAACACGGGAGACCGUAUGCCCUCGGUGGGGCUCGGCACCUGGCAGGCCGACCCUGGCGUCGUCGGCGCCGCCGUCUACGCCGCCGUCAAGGCGGGUUACCGACACAUCGAUUGCUCCAGCGAAUACGGCAAUGAGAAGGAGAAAAGCAUAGUGAUAAGCAGUGCAGUUCUGGACAUUUCUCCUAUCCAACUGGUAUCUUCUGGAUUCGUGCUACAUAACAACGGGAGUAGAGGAGGCCUGAUUUCAAUUAUUUGCAUUAUCCAGAUUGGUUUGGCGCUGAAGACACUAUUUGAAGAGGGUAUAGUGAAGCGUGAAGAUCUGUUUAUCACCUCUAAGCUAUGGAAUGACUGUCACGCUCCUGAAGAUGUGCCAGAGGCACUAAAUAAAAGCCUCAAUGAUUUACAGCUUGAUUACUUGGAUCUUUAUCUUAUCCAUUGCCCAUUUAGUGUCAAGAGGGGAAAAGACCAUAGCCCUGAAAACUUUGUUACACCUAACAUCCCUGUUACUUGGGGGGCAAUGGAAAAGUUACAUCAUGCUGGCAAAGCUCGCGCGAUUGGUGUGAGUAACUUCUCAUCAAAGAAGUUGGGUGACUUGCUUUCUGUAGCUCGUGUACCUCCUGCUGUUAAUCAGGUGGAAUGUCAUCCUGGUUGGCAGCAAACUAAGCUCCACAACUUUUGUCAGUCAACUGGAGUUCAUCUUAGUGCUUACUCACCACUAGGUUCACCUGGUACUACUUGGAUGAAUGGUAACGUCCUUAAAGAACCAAUGAUUAUCUCAAUAGCUGAGAAACUCGGCAAGACAACUGGACAAGUGGCUCUGCUCUGGAACAUCCAGAUGGGUCACAGUGUACUACCAAAGAGCACAAAUCAAGAAAGGAUAAAGAAAAACCUCGAUGUUUAUGAUUGGACAAUUCAAGAUGAUGUGCUUGCAAAGUUCUCAGAGAUUCAGCAGGCUAGGCUGUUGAGAGGCGACUUUAUGAUUAAUCCACAGAGCGUUUACAAGACCCAUGAGGAGUUCUGGGAUGGUGAAAUUUAA
rnacentral:rRNA from 1 species